rnacentral:rRNA from 1 species
UACGAAGGGGGCUAGCGUUGCUCGGAAUCACUGGGCGUAAAGCGCACGUAGGCGGAUUGUUAAGUCAGGGGUGAAAUCCUGGAGCUCAACUCCAGAACUGCCUUUGAUACUGGCGAUCUUGAGUCCGGGAGAGGUGAGUGGAACUGCGAGUGUAGAGGUGAAAUUCGUAGAUAUUCGCAAGAACACCAGUGGCGAAGGCGACUUACUGGACGACUGUUGACGCUGAGGUGCGAAAGCGUGGGGAGCAAACAGG